rnacentral:lncRNA from 1 species
AAAUUGAACAACACACUGUUCUCUACUAGUAUCGAUCGACACUGUCUCCGCAGUAGUCUUAGAAUCGCUUCUUGUCAUUCCUUGACAAUGAAUCCCAACACCGAACAAGACCACAUCGAACCAUAAACAACAAACAUGCAUCACACAAACACCAAACCACACAAAAACAGAGAUACAAACAUAGAUCCCAUCCAUCUACACAAUCAUAACACGCAUCAAAAGGAAGGUUCACAAGCUCAGAUUAGCCAUGGUCACGCAUUCACCUUAACAAGGUGAUUCGAAACACAAAUAAAACCAGGAAAGACUCUCCUCACUACUGAAACAGCCCAGCAACGCCCUACAACAAGUCACACAAACAAAAAUCCCCUUGAGUGGACAAAAACAACAGAAAAUUCAGUCA